rnacentral:rRNA from 1 species
UACGAAGGGGGCUAGCGUUGCUCGGAAUUACUGGGCGUAAAGGGCGCGUAGGCGGAUAGUUUAGUCAGAGGUGAAAGCCCAGGGCUCAACCUUGGAAUUGCCUUUGAUACUGGCUGUCUUGAGUUCGGGAGAGGUGAGUGGAAUGCCGAGUGUAGAGGUGAAAUUCGUAGAUAUUCGGCGGAACACCAGUGGCGAAGGCGACUCACUGGCCCGAGUACUGACGCUGAGGCGCGAAAGCGUGGGGAGCAAACAGG